UGAGUCUCUGAUGGAGUCUGAUGGAGUCUCUGAUGGAGUCUCUGAUGGAGUCUGAUGGAGUCUCUGAUGGAGUCUCUGAUGGAGUCUGAUGGAGUCUCUGAUGGAGUCUCUGAUGGAGAACACGAAGGAUGUGACCUUGUUGCUGAAUGUGAGGGGAGUUCUCCUCCAGGUCUCUGGGACAUGAGGUGCUGAGGACCUCCGGCCCAUUCGGUCUCCUGACUGCUCCAGCUUUCAGCACUGAUGCAGCAUCUGGUGUCUGCUGCAGCGGAGGACCUCAUCCUCAUCCCCGGCUUCAGGCUUCAGCAGAGGUCGCUGUGAUGCCAGCAGCAUGAGACUCUGGUGAACUUGUGACAGCAGUUUCUACUGCAGCGGAGGAUCGCCUCCUCUUCCUCCUCCUCAUCCCCAGCCCAGGCUUCAGCAGAGAAUCCUAGAACAAUCUGGAGACCUGGAACGAGCGUCAGCAACUUCUCACUAUCGAUGCUGAGCUGUCGGUGAGCGGCUGAAAGGACGGCGGUUGGCGCUCUGAUCUGCCGUCGCUCGCUGUGGAACACAGACAGAACUUUGUAAAGGCAGCUGUGUGUUCACUGUCGUUUAUCUACGGUGUACUGAUAACAAAUAAAACCAGUUACUCCAUAA